rnacentral:lncRNA from 1 species
GGCAAUUUAAUACCGUCUUCUGUUUCGCUCUCUCAGCGAAGCCUUGUAAAUCGCAAAGUGUUUCGAAUAGGCUUAAAUGCAACUGCAUCUCUACAUCAACCAAAAGAUAAUUUUCUUGAGGAACAUAUAACGUAUCAAGUCUGUUUGAAAUUAAUGAAACUCAAGUAAAGGUUACUAUAGUCUACCCCAGUCGUAAUGAGUGCUAUUCCAACACCUUACGACAAGCAAUCCCCAUUGGCAUAACGGCAAAAACAUCUCUUCCUUCAAGUAAACAAUAAACAGUCUGUUCUUGUUCCAUUUAUAAUCGAAAAAAGUGAUCAUGCAAUUUUCGAAUUUUAAGCUUAUCGAGAGCCUUUGUGAUGAAUCACUUAUCUAAUUAUAGAAUCUAACAGCAAACAGCCAAUCAGAAUGCCGCGUUCGUGGGCGAACGCGGAAAGUACAAAAUACCGGGCCUUGCUUGCAGGCCCACUGUCAAGUUUCCUUGAGCCUGCUCCCUUGGGCCUGCACGCGGGCUAGCUCUGAUAUAAAAUCCAGUCUUCAUUUUCGGAUUGCAAAUAUUACGUAUGUAAUCUGAUCGAACUAUUCGAUAUAUAUUUCUGUUCAUUUAGGACGGUCAGGUGAUAUGUUUCCAAGACAAGGACUGUUUCCAAGCAGGUAUAGCAAAAGAGAUGACUGCGCGCGGCGCAAAAACUUUGUCGUUAACGUGAAUUUUCUGUUCGAUUUUACUAAAUUAUUUUUGCCGUAAAUAUUUUGGGCCUAAUCGUGUGAGCUCAGCUUAAAGAUGCGGUACAGUCCGAUCUGCACAUGUGCACAAAGGAGCCCUCUUUUUAUUAUACAAACAGUUUAUUUAGGUUUUUAUUUCAUUUUAUGGUCUUGCAAAGCUUAAUUGUUGUGUCUUGAUAAUUUAUUAUACUCUAGAAUCAUGAAAAUAUAAAGAGUUGUCGAAUAAAAUUCAAUAUUUUGGAUACUGACAUGUAAACAAAGCCUUUGUUUACAUACGAACUGUACCGCAUCUUUAAGACAUUCUUGGAAUCUUGCUUCUUUUCAUUUCAUUUCUCCUCGCUAUAGCUGACAGCUUUUUUAAUUUUUAAGUAAUUCUGCGUUAAUGUUAAAAAUAAAGUAAACAUUUAUACAAAGUUGCCAGUUUUUUUAGUACAAUCGCAGGUUAUAAAUGGUCUGUGAUGUGUCUGGUCUGUGUAGCUAUAGGUAGUGACAAUAACAAGAAAGCUUCGGAUUGAUAUAGGGAUACAACUAUACCUGAAAAAUACAAGCAGAACUUCGACGUUCCGAGCGAAGGGCCGUCUCUCGAAACGUCCAAGUCCUCCUUGUAUUUUUCAGGUAGUUGCAUCCCUACCAAUCCGAAGCUUUCUUGUAGUUGUACUUCCAUUCUCUACAGUUUUGCAAAGUCAAAGUUAUAAUAAUAUAAGCGCAUGAGCCUACAUCUGGGGACGGCAAUAUGUGUGUGUGCGCGGGGGGGGGGGCGGGGUAUGAUAAAUUUCCAAAAUCCUUUAAUGUAGUAACUCCGUGUGUAUAACCCAGAGUUGGACCAGGAUGCAACUGUGUCUGGUUUCUGCUUGUAUUUCUGACUAACUCGCUGCACAAUAAAAUACUAACAAUUUAAAAACUUCUGCAAUUUAGAUUCACCAGCGCGCAGCCUAGGCGAAGGUGAAAAUAUUGAACCCACUGUCACACCAAAAUCACCAUGAGGUAGGUAUGUACACAUUAUCAAAAGGAGAAA